AGCGCAGGCGGGAGAACAAGUUGGAAGUGAAAUCCACGGGCUCAACCCAUGAACUGCUUUCAAAACUGUUUUUCUUGAGUAGUGCAGAGGUAGGCGGAAUUCCCGGUGUAGCGGUGGAAUGCGUAGAUAUCGGGAGGAACACCAGUGGCGAAGGCGGCCUACUGGGCACCAACUGACGCUGAGGCUCGAAAGUGUGGGUAGCAAACA
rnacentral:rRNA from 1 species